rnacentral:rRNA from 1 species
AUACGGAGGAUCCGAGCGUUAUCCGGAUUUAUUGGGUUUAAAGGGUGCGCAGGCGGGAGAUUAAGUCGGCGGUGAAAUUUUGCAGCUCAACCGUAAAAGGGCCUUCGGAACUGGGUUCCUUGAGUGGAGAUGAAGUAGGCGGAAUUUGUGGUGUAGCGGUGAAAUGCAUAGAUAUCACGAGGAACUCCGAUUGCGCAGGCAGCUUACUAAACUACUACUGACGCUCAGGCACGAUGGCGUGGGGAUCAAACAGGAUUAGAUACCCUGGUAGUCCACGCAGUAACCGAUGAUUACUAGCUGUUUGCGAUACAAUGUAAGCGGCUGAGCGAAAGCGUUAGGUAAUCCACCUGGGGAGUACGUUCGCAAGAAUGAAACUCAAAGGAAUUGACGGG